CACAUAUUUCUGCAAAAAAAACAUUGUCACUACCUUGAUUAGCCCAUUUCCAGUUCACAUUUUAACCUGAAGCUAAUAAAUACUCACUUCUUCAAAAUUUUGGUAGGUAACUAUACACUGUAGGAAGACAUUUUCUUCUCAGGAACGAUCCCGAGCAAGUACUCCAGUCAUAAGUUAGUGUUUCUCUAAACCUUUGCCACAGUCACAGAAAAAUCAGUUUGUAGUUACAAAGUGUUGGGUUUUUUUCCUUAUCUGCAAAAUGUAUGAGGGAUCGUUAACAUAGUUGUUGCUUCAUUCUUCCAAAUAAUUUCCAAUUCCCUUGGAAAUAUUUUUUCCUUCAAAGGAUCUUUUUUCUGACAUUUGUUCUGCUGUUUUGCAUAGUCAGUGUUUACUCAAUAAAAGCACUUAAAAAGCGCUCUCUCCCUAAUCCUCCAGUGAAUUUUUCCUGUGUCCCCCUUGGCACGUAUUUGGGAUGAAGGUGGCCGCGAUGAGCCUGGAGUCACAGUGAAGAAGCACGUAUUUCGUAGCUUCUCCUUGUCUCGCCUCUCUGACACCCACCAGGCUGACCAGUGUGGUGGCUCCAGGGCCUCUAAGCACUUCCUGAAAGAAUUACGAUGUGCAAAGCCUGGCUCUCUCCGUAGUCUCAACAAAAUGGCGGAGCAGAUCCACUGGGUCCUGAUCCCUCCUUCCUCCUCAAUUCUUCUCAGCACAAGCCGCUAGUCAACACAUUUUUGGAAGGGAAACACUUUAGCACUUCCUGGAGUUUAAAAGAGUCCUAGGAAAGAAAGAAGGAAAAGAAAGGCAAGAAGACAGAGAGAGAUAGAGAUGAGCCCUGCUGUGGUCCAUGGCUGUCCGGGAACCGCUGAGUGUACCUGGAUGGGAAAGUUCCUAAGGUUGCAUAGUGUCAUCUAAAGCUUAUGAACUGUUACCCAAAGCCCUAUCAUGAUCUGGCUGUGUGGAAGGAAAUGCAGCUGGAAAGGAAAGUUGAAGGAAAUCCAGCUCUUCAGGCUUGAUAACUUGGGGGUCAUUGAGAGCUAGUCUGGUGGCUAAACUCUAGUUCCAUUCCUCUUGUCCUCAUUCUGCUUAAAGAAAGAACCUCAACUCCAAAGGCAUGAAGCAGCAAGGUCUACACACAAAGACAAUGAUGCCACUGCCAACUGGAGCAUGACACAGGGGAGUGUGUGUGAAGAAUGAGUACCAGCACAAUGCUGGAUAAGUGACAAACGAAUUGGUGCAAGCUCCUGGAAUGAUUCACAUACUUACUUCGUGGAUAUCUGUUCAGUGUUAAAACUCUGGAAGGGUACCAAGUACUGCAAAGGUCACAAUUUCCUUUUCUAGGGACAAUUUCUUUAUUAAAUAGCACCAAUGACAAGCUAAAAUAAAGCCUUUAGCCACUAGCUGUUUGACUUCUCU
rnacentral:lncRNA from 1 species